rnacentral:rRNA from 1 species
GACGAACGCUGGCGGCGUGCUUAACACAUGCAAGUCGAGCGGUAAGGCCCUUUCGGGGGUACACGAGCAGCGAACGGGUGAGUAACACGUGGGUGACCUGCCCUCAGCUCUGGGAUAAGCCUGGGAAACUGGGUCUAAUACUGGAUAUGACUCCACGGUGCAUGUCGUGGGGUGGAAAGCCUUGUGCGGCUGAGGAUGGGCCCGCGGCCUAUCAGCUUGUUGGUGGGGUGAUGGCCUACCAAGGCGACGACGGGUAGCCGGCCUGAGAGGGCGACCGGCCACACUGGGACUGAGACACGGCCCAGACUCCUACGGGAGGCAGCAGUGGGGAAUCUUGCGCAAUGGGCGAAAGCCUGACGCAGCGACGCCGCGUGAGGGAUGACGGCCU